UUGAAAACAGCCUUCGCAGUGCCACCAAAAAAGAAACUAGAAUAAAAAUACCUGUAGUUUCGAGAGUCAUCUUUGGUUUACCUUUCUAACGAUAUAAAAUAUAUAAAAGCAAGUUUUCGUCUCCAGUCAAAUAUUAUACCAGAGCGCGAUCGUCUUUAGCAAACAAAGCAGGACCAAAAGCCUGGGCAAUCUUUGAGACUUGGAGCUUCUCCUGAAUAAAGCAAGAAGAUGAGUGGCUCAGGUGGCGGAGGUGGCGAGGGUGGUUCAAAUGGCGGUGGUGGUGGCGGCGGCGGAGGCGGGGGUUUCGGCGGUGGCAAUGGGGGUGCCGGUGGCAGUGGCUCCAGCAAAAAGCAUUUCGGGAACCGUUUAUACGACAUUCCUUCCGGUGGAAUGAACACCAGGAUCAUCGAAAAUCCUGUUGACUUCCGGUUUCCGCAGGAUGAAAUCCUCAUGAGCAGGACUCUGGAUCCUUCCAACAUGAGCGGGAAUCUGGACCCAUUCUAACAUGAGUGUAAAUCAUGACCCUUCCAACAUGAGCUGGAAUCUGGACCAUUUCUAACAUGAACGUGACGUUUCUCUCACGUGUCAUGCACUGUUGUCUUCUUUUUAUAUUUCUUUAAAACAUAUUUUUAGUAAAUUUAUACACAUUGUUUGUCAAUAAAAUGUGACAUCUCGCAAAAGGAACGUGCAAUUAAUGGUAAUACAUAUACCUUUCUGUCAUAAUUCCUCUUGUAAAGCAAAUACAAAAUAAAAUGACAUAACUAUUUAA